UACGUAGGGUGCAAGCGUUAAUCGGAAUUACUGGGCGUAAAGCGUGCGCAGGCGGCUUUGCAAGACAGAUGUGAAAUCCCCGGGCUCAGCCUGGGAACUGCAUUUGUGACUGCAUGGCUAGAGUGCGGCAGAGGGGGAUGGAAUUCCGCGUGUAGCAGUGAAAUGCGUAGAUAUGCGGAGGAACACCGAUGGCGAAGGCAAUCCCCUGGGCCUGCACUGACGCUCAUGCACGAAAGCGUGGGGAGCAAACAGG
rnacentral:rRNA from 1 species